rnacentral:rRNA from 1 species
GUAGGUGGCAAGCGUUGUCCGGAAUUAUUGGGCGUAAAGGGCUCGCAGGCGGUUUCUUAAGUCUGAUGUGAAAGCCCCCGGCUCAACCGGGGAGGGUCAUUGGAAACUGGGAAACUUGAGUGCAGAAGAGGAGAGUGGAAUUCCACGUGUAGCGGUGAAAUGCGUAGAGAUGUGGAGGAACACCAGUGGCGAAGGCGACUCUCUGGUCUGUAACUGACGCUGAGGAGCGAAAGCGUGGGGAGCGAACAGGAUUAGAUACCCUGGUAGUCCACGCCGUAAACGAUGAGUGCUAAGUGUUAGGGGGUUUCCGCCCCUUAGUGCUGCAGCUAACGCAUUAAGCACUCCGCCUGGGGAGUACGGUCGCAAGACUGAAACUCAAAGGAAUUGACGGGGGCCCGCACAAGCGGUGGAGCAUGUGGUUUAAUUCGAAGCAACGCGAAGAACCUUACCAGGUCUUGACAUCCUCUGACAACCCUAGAGAUAGGGCUUUCCCUUCGGGGACAGAGUGACAGGUGGUGCAUGGUUGUCGUCAGCUCGUGUCGUGAGAUGUUGGGUUAAGUCCCGCAACGAGCGCAACCCUUGAUCUUAGUUGCCAGCAUUCAGUUGGGCACUCUAAGGUGACUGCCGGUGACAAACCGGAGGAAGGU